GGCCAGCAACUAUUAACUGCUUUCCUGAGUGAUAGCUGGUCUUGGUUGUCAACUUGGCUUCACCUGACAUCGCAUUGCUCAAAGUGCCAAUGUGCACAAAUGCUUAAGCACCCUGAACAAACUCUGUGUAUAGCAGACCAGUGGCAGGCACUUCAUGCUGCUAAGUGCUCAUAAUAAAUGGAGGCCAAUACAAAGCCACACCCCUCAUCUCGGGUACAGACUGAGCUAAUCAAGGCAGGAUGGACUCCAGCCUCCUCCACCAAGUGAACAGGGAGGAGCAGCCCAGACACCCUGCCGCCUGGAGGACGGAGAACAGCUUUCUGUAACAGCAGCCUGGGCUCACCUCUUCCCUCGCCUUUCUCCCAGGGGGAGGACGGUUUGGGUAUGUUAUGGGUUUGCACGCUCUCUGCUGGGACAGGUAGAAAGCAUGGAGGUGUUGGACCUGAGCUGCAGCACCAACCUGCAUUCCGGAUCCUCUCUCUGUACUGCUGGUCCAGCUUCUUCAUCCUCUUCUGAUAUUCCUGUAACGUACCUAUGGACACACAGGACACAGUGACUCGGGGGCUCAGCCCACUUUGCACACUUCCCUCUCCUCAGUCACUUUCUAGCACUGGAGCCACCCAGAGAGCUAUACAGGGAGAGACAGCACCAGACCAUGUGGCGCUUCCUCCUCCUUCCACAGGACCUCGGGCCAGGACACCAGGUGACGCUGAGCACCGGGCCCUAUGGUCUAAGACAAUGAGCCCCAAUCUCCUGGAGAAGGCUCAUCCUCUUGCAGUGAGAUCUAGGUCAAAACUAUCCAAGAGAGCUUUGUAUGGUGGUGGAAAACUCUACCUAUGUAAUACCAAUACAGUAGCCGAGUAGGAGCUAUGUUAGCACUGAAAAUUAAUCAGUAAAUUUGAGGAACCCAA
rnacentral:lncRNA from 1 species